rnacentral:rRNA from 1 species
ACGGAAUAGAUACCCUGGUAGUCCACGCCCUAAACGAUGUCUACUAGUUGUUGGUGGAGUAAAAUCCAUGAGUAAACGCAGCUAAACGCGUGAAGUAGACCGCCUGGGGAGUACGGUCGCAAGAUUAAAACUCAAAUGAAUUGACGGGGGCCCGCACAAGCGGUGGAUUAUGUGGAUUAAUUCGAUGCAACGCGAAAACCUUACCUGGCCUUGACAUGUAACGAACUUUCCAGAGAUGGAUUGGUGCUCGAAAGAGAACGUUAACACAGGUGCUGCAUGGCUGUCGUCAGCUCGUGUCGUGAGAUGUUGGGUUAAGUCCCGCAACGAGCGCAACCCUUGCCAUUAAUUGCCAUCAUUUAGUUGGGCACUUUAAUGGGACUGCCGGUGACAAACCGGAGGAAGGUGGGGAUGACGUCAAGUCCUCAUGGCCCUUAUGGCCAGGGCUUCACACGUAAUACAAUGGUCGGUACAGAGGGUUGCCAACCCGCGAGGGGAGCCAAUCCCAGAAAGCCGAUCGUAGUCCGGAUUGUAGUCUGCAACUCGAC